rnacentral:rRNA from 1 species
UACGUAGGGGGCAAGCGUUGUCCGGAAUCAUUGGGCGUAAAGCGCGUGUAGGCGGUCCGGUAAGUCCGCUGUGAAAGUCCAGGGCUCAACCCUGGGAUGCCGGUGGAUACUGUCGGGCUAGAGUACGGAAGAGGCGAGUGGAAUUCCCGGUGUAGCGGUGAAAUGCGCAGAUAUCGGGAGGAACACCAAUUGCGAAGGCAGCUCGCUGGGACGUUACUGACGCUGAGACGCGAAAGCCAGGGGAGCGAACGGG